CAGAGCGAAAAUGGCGUAGAGCGGAGGGUGUGUGGCGAAGGGGACGAGGGGGACGAGGGGACCUUCUUCUCUUCUCUCCUCUCCUCUCCUCUCCGGCGUGUAGGGGGUGAGAGAGGGGGUCCCGGAGGUAUUCGGUUUGUUCUUUUCUAAAUGUGUCCCCAGCGCGGCGCGGUCCCUCUUUACAGAAUAAAUCCGGUACACGUCCAGUUUGGGAGACCUAAAUGUGUCACCGUAGAAGAAGACUCCCCCCCCCCCCGGCUUUUGUUUACCAUUGUGUGCAGCUGCAGCUCAAACCACAGCCGAAAUGUCCCUGCAUCAUUUCGGAUCAACUCACACCAAGGGGUGGGUUUUCCAGUCAAUGCAGUCGGGAAACCAGCUGAAGCCCAAACUGGAGGAACAUCUCCCUUCAGAUCAGCCCCGGCGCCAUUGACGGAUCGCCCCCACCACCACCACCACCACCCAGACCUGCGGUAAAGAACUAAGAGUCAUCGAGAAGAUGACCUCUUUUGGGGUUUUGGGACACGGGUGUCCUCCUUCCUGCUGUCGCUGGGACAUUGGCCCUCUUGCCUCCACAGCAUCCCCUCUUGUCCUGGCCCCAUUUCUGCCACAUGACCAUCAAUGAGGACAUCUUCCAAGAUUUUGGGCCAGUCUGACUUCCAUCACGCGCGCACACCGACUAUGUCUAGAUGUAGCCUAACGCUGGCUGAAAAGCCACGGGGUUUCUGCACUCGCUCUAUUUGUCUGAAAGUCUCCAUGAUUUGGGCAUUUUCAGUCAGGUUUGGGUUAGAUUCUUUUCUGGCUGCAUGUAAACGUAGUAACUGAUUUUUCUUGCGUAAGUACAAAAAAAAUCCCCACUUUCUUUGGGAUAGGAUCAAAGCUGUUUGAUAAUGAACAAAUUAACUGCUCCUGUUUUCUAGGGAGGCAAGUAAAGACACAAGAUACUGUAGCAAAGAUCAAGGCCUGUGAUUAAAUUAGAUGCAAAGGGUGUUUAAUUUUUUUUUUUUUUUUUUUGCACUACCUCAUUGCCAUAACAAGUCCAGAAAGGGAGUGUGAUCAGUACAAGUAGCUUAACGGUUGUCCAGCGCCACAGCAGUUUUAUAUAUUGUUCCGGGAGGAAUUUUGGUUUUAGUUUUAGAGGCUCAAUAGGUGGGGAUGUCAGCCCACAAGCACACGAUGCACAUUUCACUUUCAGUUCAGCCGUUUUGACAGAAACACUGACUCACUCAAACUGUGGUCUCCUAUGCAUUUGUUGUAAAGGAAGGUCACGAUAUGGAAUUUUUAAUCCAUGCUCUCAUUUUUGCAUUUCGGAUUUGUAGUGCUCUCCUUUGUCAAGUCUGCAGGUUUAUUCACAAAUUGCAGGUAGAGACAGAAUAGCUAAUGUUUCCCUUGUGACUUAAUGUUUGAGAUCCCAAACAUUUGGCAACUUAAGGUAUUUAAAGUUCGUCUUUUAUUACAAAAGUCUAGUCCAGUUUUCCUCCCUUAAAAUACUCUUCAUUUGGUCUGUCUUCCCCCCUUUCCCCUGCGUAUAGUCUAAUUUGAUCCAUUUCAUACUUUAACAUGUUCCCAUUAUUGUUGUUUUCCCCCCCUUAACAUUAGCUUUCAUUUGUCCAUGUUCUAUAACCAUAUGAGAUGUAUAAACAGACCUUUUUUACAUGCUGCCAGUAGAGACAGAAUUGACCGUUUGAUUGAUUUUGUUCAAUGAAACAUGAGACAAAAUAAUCCAAAAAUUUAGUAAAAACAUCAUUUUUUUUGUCUCUGACCUGCUGUUUCGAUGUGUCCAAUAAGUUUAGAGACACCAGUGCUGAAAUAUCAGCUUUAAUUGUCCUUGUAUUUGUCCUUAUCUGAAGGAAACCCUGAUCUCAUUUUUCAGUUUUCUUAGAUAACGUUUAUAUGAUUUUAAACCAAAAAAAAAAAAAAAAAGACAUCUACCGGGAUUCGUGCAAUAUUUGAUCUUAACUGUCAUGUUGUUGACCAAACUGUAUAUUGUAUAAACAAGUGACAAGUUGUUUGAAAGCAACAAAAUCACCAAUGUCUUCCAUUAAGAUAUGUAUAGACUCGUGCAUUAGCUUAUUUAGCGGGACUGUGGUACCAACAUUAUAGUAGCCAUGCAUGACCAGUAGUGAUGCUUGCUUCAUAAAGAAUAGUGAAAUCGAUUUCUAGCCGGAGCUCAAAACUGUGGAAACCAUUUUCAGUAAAAUUAAAGGGUAGUAGGCUGACGUACUCGACCUUUUAAAUACACCGCGUCUAGAUACAGCUUUGCCCUAAAAUCUUAGUGCAAGAUCUCCUCUUUAUUCCGCAUCUAGGUUGUGUAAUGAAAAUACAAAUGAAAUACGAACCAAUCAGGAUAUGCAGUUAUAAGUAUUGAUUCAAGUCCUUUUACAAAGGCGUAUAUGCUCAGCAUAAGUUAGUGCUUUCUUUCAGACCUGCUGCAUAUUCUUAGGACUCUUGUCUUUUUUUGAAAGAAAAAAAAAAAAAAAAAAGCUUAAGAAAUGUCCAAAAGGUACUCGUGCACUCUCAAGCAUCAAAAGAAUUUGGUAGUUAUUAAGUGACAGCAAAAAAGCUCCCAAGAAACAAGUCUCAGACGUGACAAUGAUAGAAACCUUCAGAGAGAUGUUAUAUAAACAGUAGUACUUUAAUCCUGGAUUCGGAUCUAAUUGGUAGGGAUCCGACGUGGUGUAUGAGUCCUAGAAUUAAGAUCCCACCAUGACAUUGCAUUGUACAUAAUACCUCAUAAUAGUUUUGGGAUUCAGAGCGUUAUAUUUUAAUCCAUAAAAUUGUAUUUGAUUAGAGUUUUAGAAGCAAUAAUCUACAAUAAUGCAUGAGUUUAGUGCCAGGGUGUAAGUGUUAAAAGGAUUCUGUGACGUCACGUGGAAAGGAUCCCGCCCCCCCCUUUUACGCUUAUAGUAGCUAGCUAUCCAUUGGUCACUUUUCUGGGGAGUCGUAUAAUAUUUGGCUUUAGGAUACAGUGUUACUUAUGAAGGUUUAGGAUACUUCCUGCAGAACAAGGUGUGUGUGUGUGUGUGUGUGUGUGUGUGUGUGUGAGGACUGCUGUAGCAUGAUGGUAUUACAUUGACAAAUUUAACUAAAUGCUUCUAUUUUUCAGAGAGUAUUUUCCCUGCCUUGUAUCCAAUCAGUACAUGGGAGAUGCUUUGAAAUUCAAUUCUCGUAGCAUUUUACAUCCUCAGAACCCACCCCUUCCUUUAGAAAUGUAGACUUUCAGUAACUCUGUGGCUGCAAAGUACUUACUGAACGAACUUGACACUUGUUUGAAAAGCACUUUCUCUCUAUGUACUGACUUGCACCAUCAUCAUCACCAUCCUGUCUUGAAUACCGUGUUCUAAAAACCCUGUAAUGCUCUUUGUGGGGAUUUAUAAUCACAAUUUAUAAGCAAGUAGGCAUCUAGCAACAUGAAUAUAUGGGUUUAAAAAAAUAUGCAUGACUUAGUAAAAUAAUGAAUGAUUUGUAUUGCAUGCAAUAAUCCAACUUUGUAAUGUGAAUGAGUAUAAUUAGGAUAUUGAAAUGUUCAUAUGAGAUGUUCUGUGACAACUUGGGGACGGUCCUCUGACACUACAGCAAGCAUGUUGAAGUAGUUUUGAUCAUCAGUUGUGGUUUUUACAGACUAAACAGCACCAAAAAAGAUGUAACGGAGAGUAGUUUUAAGUGUUCCUGCUCUCACUCUCUGUUGUGUCAAACAAGACCAUGGCAGUACUGCCACAGUGCAGCUGAAAAAACACUGAUCAACCUUUGUUCCCAUGAAGAAAAAAA